rnacentral:rRNA from 1 species
GGAAGCAGGUGGCCAAAAGUCUUAGCGUUUCCUUUUUUUUCCGUAAGAGAGAAGAGGGUGGUCGCCGGAGCUAGACCCUAGCGGUCCCUACGGCGGCGGCGGCGGUGCCUAGGGUGCCUGCGGCGGAGGCGCCUAGCGCGCCGCGGUGGAGCGGCGGUGGAGCGGUGGCGACCAGCGGUACCGCGCCGCAGUGGGGCGGCGGUGGAGUCGGUUCGCGGCGCGGCGGGUAGGCUUGGGAUCGGGCGGGGGAGGCGGGCGGCUGCCUAGCGAAGGCGAGGAGGUGCGCCGCUGGACGCCGCUGGACGCGGAGAACUUCUCCGACCACUCUCUAGACCUAGUCCCGUCCCCGGCAGGGUCCCUCCACCACCUCCGCCGGUUCCUGGUUCCAGAGCACCGCGACGUGAAGCGACGGCCCUUCCCUUCCGGUGUCCACACGUCCAUGGACCAGCUGCUCGAUCCCCAGCUACACCUGCGGCAGCUGUUACCUCUUAACCCGAUAUCCUUUGACAUACAACUGGUCGUGGUCAAAUAAAAAGCUUUAUUUGGCCCCUAAGGCGGUACGGGGCGCAGUUCAGGCCGAGAUCGCCGACGAACAAGAUGGCCUCCUUCGUGAGUACCGCGACGCUACUCAAUCACUCGUCCUCGUGGGACGUAGACGACCUGAAACUACUGCCAUGUGGUGGUCUUCUACGAACCUCUUCUUUUAAUUCAUCAAUGCGAUUAUCUGACUUCCUCAAGUUACACUGCCAGUCUCUUCGUAAAUUUUACUACUUCGAACCAGAGGUCGAAACCAGUAUACAAGCUCUCCUUCGAAGAGUACCUUCCUACAAAUAUUGAUCUCUUCCUACUUCGUUUUCCAUGAGGAGGCAAAAUCGAGGACCGGUCGUACUACCAAAUUUCAUACAAAAAAAGCGGGACAGUCUGUUGUCUAAGAAUUAAAGGACUUUAAAAGAGGUACCUACAAGUUACCUACGUUUAGACCUUACAAGAGAAGCCAGAAACAUACUUUCUUAUAUAUAUCGUCAGUACUGUGUCAUGUUGUUAUUGUUAAGGAAAGUCGGGGUUUGUUCAACCCCAUCCGAUCUCAACUUUGGGUCUUAUAGAGCAGUACCAAGACCGUGUACCUAUCGAUUGAAGGUACGCGGGGACAGGUGCGGCUUCGUUCUUUUUUCAUGAUGUCCUCUAGACUACAUGUCCACUAGUGACUUCGUUUUUUUUCAUGUCCUCAAGACCACGGUCUAACAAGUGUGUUUGUAUAGGAACGGUGAAGAUGUUCAUUAUAGAACGUUAUAUAAGAUACUACGGACUAACAAAUUGUGUACCUAACUGUUUGCACAAAACCGAACAGUACAAAGGCUAUUAAAGUCAAUAACCUUGUUUUAUUGGUCCCCAUGACCGAUCGAUUACAAACCAUGACCUGACCUGAAAUAGUCGGUACUAUUACUAAAAAAAAAGAUUUCUUUUACACUUAAACUACGAUCCGACAAGGGUGUUCUGGUGUCUUACAACCAGUGUUUUUGGUUAGGUCAAGUAAAAUACGGUCAGUGUUUUUGGACAAACAGAACAGGAGAGAAGAAGAAGGGCCGUUGGAACCGUGUUAAUGACACUAUAAAACAAACACAAGAAGCUGUUGGAAAUAUAGUGCCCGACGGAGGUGCAGGUGGAAGCAGAUGCUCGUAUAUAGUAGUGGUACUCCACGUAUGUCGAGUACACGUAAGCUUCAACUACCUCACUGUUUAGUUCAAAGGUAACACUUUAUAUAAUUGAUUACACAUUCUCUAUACGAUAGUAAAAUUAAUGAUAUAAGAUCGACAAAUCAAGGAUCGAAAAAGCUAUUACGUAUAAUUCAUACAGAACUUCAUUCGAUAGUAUCACAUAAUCAAAGAACAACAAUUUCUGUAACGUUAAAUGUUACGCAUACCUACCAGUUUAAUUCACGCGGCCGCACUUUUCCUUUACGGUGUGGGCUUCUAGGAACAUGACAAAUAUUACGCAUACGUAAGGAAAUGAUAAAAAGUGGUAUUCUAGGAAAAUAGUGAGUAAUUUUAAAGUGUUCAAGAACGGUGUGGGCUUCGAAGGCAAGAGCGACUGAAGUGGCCUUACGGACGUGGUACAAGGUGCCACCCCUCUCAAACCCAAGCCUUCCAUCACCCACCCUCGCCUCCUUCCUUUCCCCUCUUUCUACACGAAAGGAGCGACGUUGCGUGCCCGUUAAUUGAUAUAACGAUUAUUAAUACUCCCGAGGACGUCACUGUGAUGAUAAAAACGUCCACUUCGCUGUUGGUUCAAAGGUUCAAAUACAGUCUUAUGUUCUCUUCCCCCAAAUCAUAAAACAACUACCGUGUACAACCUUCCAGACGUCCUCCACGGAAACUCCUGAACGAGCAGAUGAGCUCGAAGUGACAGUCGCUUCAGAGGUGACCCAACGGAUCUAGACAGGACUUAACGAAGUAACUACUGUUAAACCUCUUCCGAGGCGACUGUGAAUGUUCCUACAAAAGGAAACAAUCUUUCUGCUCCUACGCGACCUCUAUCUGUACCCCACCAUUCUUUUACUGCUCGAGGACUACCAUAAUACGAACGACCAGACUUGGUUGUACAUAAUACAGUCAAACAACAAUUCUCAUAGAACUUUUAUAUUUCGGUGACCUCCCGGUCAGUAAGCCAUGGUAGCAGAAAGGUUCUCGGGUAUAAAGACGUACAUGAGGG